rnacentral:sRNA from 1 species
GGGUCAGCUGCUACAUGCCGGCCAAUGGUGAGACGGUGACGCUGCCCACAAGCCCCAGCAUCCCCGUAGGCAUCUCGCUGGGGCUGCUGAAGCGGGAGAUGGCGCAGGGUAUGCAGGCUGGGCAGGGCAGGGUGCUCGGGGCAGGCGGCUGGGAGCGGCCCUCACGUUGAUGGCUCCUGUCGCCUCCUCCGCAGGGCUGCUCCCUGAGGCCAAGAAGCCUCGGCUCCUGCACGGCACCCUGAUCAUGAAGGACAGUGUGAGUGCCAGGACGGCCUCUGGAGGGGGGAGGGCUGCUGCUGCGCUCCCUGACCUGUCCCUGCCCCACAGAACUUCCGGCUGGUGUCCUCAGAGCAAGCCCUCAAAGAGCUGGGUCUGGCUGAGCACCAGCUGCGCUUCACCUGCCGCGUGCACCUGCAUGACACGCGCAAGGAGCAGGAGACGGCGUUGCGCGUCUAUAGCCACCUCAAGAGGUGGGCACCCGGCCCCACCCCCCCCACUCCCUUGGGCCCUGGGGGCCAGGCAGGGUCUCACUGAGCCUCCCCACAGCAUCCUGAAGGACCACUGUGUGCAGCACCUCCCAGACGGCUCUGUGACUGUGGAGUCCAUCCUCAUCCAGGCCGCCGCCCCUUCUGAGGACCCAGGCACCAAGGUGCUGCUGGUCUCCUGGACCUACCAGGAUGAGGAGCUGGGGAGCUUCCUCACAUCUCUGUUGAAGAAGGGCCUCCCCCAGGCCCCCAGCUGAGGCCGGCAGCUCACCCAGCCACCACCUCUGCCCUCUCCCAGCUGGACAGACCGGGGCCUGCACUUCAGGACUGUGGGUGCCCUGGGUGAACAGACCCCACAGGUCCCAUCCCUGGGGACAGAGGCCUUGUGUCACGCGCCUGCCCAGGCAGCUGUUUCCAGCUAAAGAAAUAAACUGGCCUCCGGGCUGUCUUGCCUUUAUUCCUGCUUCUGGGCCCCCAAAUGGUUAGGGCAGGUGAUCCCAGACAGCGGUUUCCAGUAAAAACUGAACAAAAGACU